UGGUAAAUCUCCUUAAGGAUGCCUGGAAGGAGCGUGUUGCAGAGGAGCAGGUCAGCUUUCACUGGUUAUAAAACAUCGCUUCUGCAAAACUUCAGCUCCAGUUUGAGGAGUUCCCUCAAGAUGGUAGGGAGUAGGGUGGGGGCCUAAUAAGCCUGGAACGCUCUGACCAAGUAUUGUCCUCACCCUAUAGAAAGAGUCAUUUCCAGAUUUCUUCUUCAAUUUUCUGGAGCGUCGCUUUGGGGUCAAUGAAGCCAUGGCCUGGGCUUAUACCAUUUUUGAAAAUAUCAAGCUCUUUCGUUCCAGUGAGAUCAUGAGUCAGUUCUAUGCAGUUUUGAUGGGAAAGGUGAGCUUUGACCUGGGUCCUACCUGUUACCCUCAGGGAACUAGAAAGGGCUUUUGUCCCCGGCACAAAAUGGCCCUGCCACUACUGUAGUAAACAGCAUAUUAAUAACUGCUUCCCUCUUAUAGACUUUGGAGAGUGUAUAUAUCAACCAAAAAGACACACUGUUCCACCUGCUGAAGGAGCUGAUAAAUGCUGACACUCAGAAUGAGGGGUCAAUAACCAUGGAACAAUUCAGCACCGUCCUCAAAACUACCUUUCCUCUCAAGAAGGAAGAGCAGAUUAUGGAGUUGAUGGAGGCAGCAGGCUGGGGUCCAGACAGCAGCAACACAGACAUGUUAAACUAUCGAUCAUUGUUUACUGAG
rnacentral:lncRNA from 1 species